rnacentral:rRNA from 1 species
AGAUAAGUGCUGAAAGCAUAUAAGCACGAAACUUGCUCCAAGAUUAAUCUUCCCUGAAACAGAAAUGUUUACUGAAGGGACGUUGAAGACUACAACGUUGAUAGGCUAGAUGUGUAAGCAUAGUGAUGUGUUGAGCUAACUAGUACUAAUGACCCAAGAGGCUUAACCUU